CCUACGGGGUGUAGCAGUGGGGAAUAUUGGACAAUGGGCGAAAGCCUGAUCCAGCCAUGCCGCGUGUGUGAAGAAGGCCUUCGGGUUGUAAAGCACUUUCAGUGGGGAAGAAAGCCUUGGGGCUAAUACCCUCGAGGAAGGACAUCACCCACAGAAGAAGCACCGGCUAACUCCGUGCCAGCAGCCGCGGUAAUACGGAGGGUGCGAGCGUUAAUCGGAAUUACUGGGCGUAAAGCGCGCGUAGGCGGUCUGAUAAGCCGGUUGUGAAAGCCCCGGGCUCAACCUGGGAACGGCAUCCGGAACUGUCAGGCUAGAGUGCAGGAGAGGAAGGUAGAAUUCCCGGUGUAGCGGUGAAAUGCGUAGAGAUCGGGAGGAAUACCAGUGGCGAAGGCGGCCUUCUGGACUGACACUGACGCUGAGGUGCGAAAGCGUGGGUAGCAAACAGGAUUAGAUACCCCGGUAGUC
rnacentral:rRNA from 1 species